UCCAAAUAUUGUCAUAUAUAUUUUUGGUAUUUAACAUGUUUAGUUUGAUAGGACCUUCUUUCACCAUCACCCAACGACCUGUCUCCGCCCCGACCCAAAUCCGCUCUGAGCGGCUGUAGGAGGAAAACCCACCCAAAGCGACCGAAUUGGCCUGGUACACCAGCAAAGACACCCGCCUAGAGAAAGUUAAGGGCAUCUGUGAGGGCCACAAAGAACCGCCACGAUCUCUCGUGCAGUAUUGGGCUACGAAAAACCUAGCAGACAUCACCUCCUUCUCAGCUUCGUCUCUUUCAUCGAAGUUUUUAGUUCAUCUCCUGCAACCUUUUUGCGUCCUUCGUUUGCAUCCCAUCAUCAUCUCCAAUCUCUCUCAUAGAUAGCUAUUAUCCCCAAAUCAAUUGAUAGUUGAAACCCUAAAAUCCCAAAUUGGCCCCAAAUUCCUGUUGGGAUUCUCAGACGAGUUCUAUUUGCAGGAAUCAUCCAGAGUUCAAACAUGGUACGAUCCAUUAUUUUUGUUUACUGGAAUUUGGGAUUGGUUGUGCUUCAACUCCAUGGCGAAGAUGUAGAGAGUUUGUAGGGACGAGAAAGCUACGGAGAUUUCUUAGAUGAAGUGUGAUUGAAGGGGCGGGGUGGGUGAUGGCCGGUGGGGAUUCUCAGGAAGACGAAGGGGAUCUGAGGAUUUUUGUUAUUUAUUUAUUUUUAACUUUUCUUUAAAUAAUUAUUUUAAUAUUUUAAAUUUUUUAUUAAGUGUUUAGCCACGUGACAUAAAUGUGGAUGGAAAAUAUAACGAAUAUAUUAUA